UUUCCGUAGGUGAACCUGCGGAAGGAUCAUUAUUGUAUAACCGAGGUGCGAGGGCUGUCGCUGACCCGAAAGGUCGUGCACGCCCGAGUGCCCACCCACACAUCCAUCUCACCCCUAUGUGCACCACCGCGUGGGUCCCCCUUUGGCUUGUUCGGAGGGGGGCUUACGUUUUCACACAAACUUUGUAUGCAGUGUAGAAUGUAUUUUUUGUUUUUGCGAUCACGCAAUCAAUACAACUUUCAACAACGGAUCUCUUGGCUCUC
rnacentral:misc_RNA from 1 species